GGUGACUCAGUGGUAGAGUGCUUGCUUUGCACGCAUGAGGCCCUGGGUAAGAUUCCCCAGCACCA
rnacentral:tRNA from 1 species